rnacentral:rRNA from 1 species
UACGGAGGGGGUUAGUGUUGUUCGGAAUGACUGGGCGUAAAGCGCGCGUAGGCGGAUCAUCAAGUCGGGGGUGAAAUCCCGGGGCUCAACCCCGGAAUGGCCUUCGAGACUGGUGGUCUUGAGUUCGAGAGAGGUGAGUGGAAUUCCGAGUGUAGAGGUGAAAUUCGUAGAUAUUCGGAGGAACACCAGUGGCGAAGGCGGCUCACUGGCUCGACACUGACGCUCAGGUGCGAAAGCGUGGGGAGCAAACAGG